UUCCAGGCCAAAGAAGGAGAAAGAAUAAAUAUUAACCAAAGGCGUUUCUAGAGCUGGGUGCCCAGGGCCCCUCCCUCCCAGAGGCUGGGAUAAACGGCUGGUUUCCCAGUUUUGGAAUCCUCUUGGCUGCUCCCACAGAAAAAGGACAGAGGUUCUUUAGGCUCAACUCUCCAUUCCAGACGGGCCGGUCUCCUUAAGGCUUUUGCUCACGUUGGACCACUUCCCCACCGGUGACUCAUUCAAACCCUAAGCCUCGAUCAGACUCACUCAAUCGUGCCUCCUCCUUCAGAAGGACGCCCUGGAGCAUUCCAGCCAGGCUUUCGGGUCUACAGAGCAAGAACUGAAGUGAUGAACUGAGCUCCUUAAAAGCAUACUUUAUAUAUAAUUGUUUACAUUAUAUUACUUUCAGGUACACAAUGACAUAGUGACUCAAAAAUGUUUAUAUAAUCCAUUUAAAGUUAUUAUAGGAGUUCCCGUCGUGGCGCAGUGGUUAACGAAUCCAACUAGGAACCAUGAGGUUGAGGGUUCGAUCCCUGGCCUUGC